rnacentral:rRNA from 1 species
AUUGAACGCUGGCGGCAGGCUUAACACAUGCAAGUCGAGCGAGCGGCGGACGGGUGAGUAAUGUCUGGGAAACUGCCUGAUGUAGGGGGAUAACUACUUGAAACGGUAGCUAAUACCGCAUACCCUCAGAUGUGCCCAGAUGGGAUUAGCUAGUAGGUGGGGUAAUGGCUCACCUAGGCGACGAUCCCUAGCUGGUCUGAGAGGAUGACCAGCCACAAUGGAACUGAGACACGGUCCAGACUCCUACGGGAGGCAGCAGUGGGGAAUAUUGCACAAUGGGCUCAAGCCUGAUGCAGCCAUGCCGAGUGUGGGAAGAAGGCCUUCGGGUUGUAAAGCACUGUCAGCGAGGAGGCGUUACUCGCAGAAGAAGCACCGGCUAACUCCGUGCCAGCAGCCGCGGUAAUUC